rnacentral:lncRNA from 1 species
UCUCUUUUUUUCUUUUAGAUUUGGGGCUCUUGAAACAUUCUGAGUAUGUUUGCGGGGGGUCCCAGAGGAGUUGUCCUGAAAGCUGCUCGGAGCAGCCACCUUUGCUGUCGCCCAGGCCUUGCCGGGUCGGCUCUGGCCGGCUGUCUGUGCUGCGGCUCCCGAGGCACCCCACCCCCGUCGGCCUCCUGCAACCAGGGUAGGAGGAUUGGGUUGGAGGGUCGAGUGCCGGGGGAGGGGGUCUUGUUUGUUUUUUAAAAAUUUUGUUUUUAUUUCUAUGGAGGACUACUCCUGGCGCUAGAAGGGUGCAGCAGUUGGCCCCAAAGUGGCCUGUGACUUGCCCAUCCCCCCUGUGCCAGGCAGCAGAGGGUGUUAGCUCUGGGAACACUAGCUGACAGGGCAUUUGCUUUGGGCCUGGGGUCCAGCCGAGGCCCAGGAAGCCGCCUCUGUGCGCACUUGCCCCGGGUGUUGCAGCGUGCGUGUGGGGGGUGUGUGGGGGGGGAGAUGGGCCGUCGCCAUGUCCCCCUCGCGCCUCCUUCCCUUCUCGUGAGGGCGGGUGUGGACGCAGUGAAGCAGUCCGUGAACCAGCCCCACGCGGAGGGGUCGAAGGAACAGCCUCAUCUGUUAAAUGGGCUCUGGGCACCCCGGCCGACGGCCCCCUCCCCUCCUCUGAGCAGGCGCGAGGUGGCCCGGGAGCCCGGCCAGCAGCCCCCGCCCCUCAGGCGGAGCUCGGGCCCUGGCAAUCUCUGCACUUUGUCAUCACGCCCGAGUAUUUGACAUUCGCAAUUAUCUGCAAAUACCCUGAUCGGUUUGUAUAUGAAACACUUUUUUUCCUGCCUUAAGGUUGGAAUCUGGUAAGUUUCAGACAAGUGGUUGCGGGGGGAGGUGACCCGGGGGACCGCGGGGGACCGGCCCGGUGAACCUGACUCGGCGAGGUGGGCGACCAGAAGAGCCGGGUCUGCGUGCCGCCCCCUGCCCCCAGCCCGGCGCGGAGGAAAGACUGGCGGAGGUGCGGCAGGCUCAGGCCGCGACCCUCGGGUCCUCCUGUGAAAGGAGCGCCCCCUAAUCCCUGCGAGCGGACGCCGAAGGGGGAGCGGGGAUCCCACCAGAGGGAAGGCCCAGAGGUUAAUCAUCUUGAUAACCGGAAAGGGCGCUGCCCGGCCUGGCUGCCAUCACAGAGCGUGUCAGUCACCAGCUCUCAAUCCCGCCACAGAAUUACCUGCUCACAGAGCCAUCCCGGGGAGCGCUCUGCUCCGCGCUCUUCCCGCCCGCCGCCUGCGGGAAGGACACCGUGUCCUAGUCCGAAAGAAGCGGAUGUCGCUUUGACCCUCCUCCGCCCCCAGACGGUUCCUAAAUCCAGGAGGGCAAUGCCAGCCCUGGAUCGCUCAGAACUGCUACAUCGCAGCUUCGGGCCACCUGCCUAUUACUUAGCCCGUCUACAAAAAGAAAAAUAGAAAAAGCGGGGCGGGAGAGGAAAAAGGAGCGAGAUUACUUGUCUGAUUUAUCUCUGCCUUAGGAACCUGGUCCUGGCCGCUGGCGGAGCCGAGGGCCUCGAGCCUGGGUACUGGGAGGCCAGACCCUGCCCGCCAGAGGUGCACACAGCCUGGGUGCCCCCGGCUCGGUGUCUCACUGGCCAAGAAGCCGAGCUCCUUUGCAGCGGGUGUCAGCAACUUUAGAAACAGCAAACUCUUCAGCGAAGCCCCCUCCCCACGCACUGAGCUCGCGGCUCUGCUACAGACGCGGGUUUAGGCGCCUUUCACAUACACUACUCACGUUUUCCGAGAAAAUGGGGAGAGGAGCACAUUAAAGAAAGGUGGGGGGGGGAUACUGCAACACUUUCAAGAAAAACUAGGGGUGGGGUGGGAAGGGAGUUUAGAAAGGCUGUCUGUAACAGCCCAGCUGCCAAAUCCCUGGCUGUUCUGAAAAGGAAGAAGGAGAGAAGCAGGCGGGAAAGGACUCCCUUCCUCCUCCCAGCCAUCUCCCUCUCAGCGCCCCCAGCCCAGGACACCCGGGCUGGGAACCCGAGAGUGUGCUCCUAGGAAGACAUCAGCCCUUCCGCCUCCAGCUCAGCCCAGGUGGGCAAGAAAGCGCGGGAGACUCGAGAAAGCUGUUACGGUCUCCCGCGGCGCCCUUGACCCCUGAGAGCCCCACACAGGAAAGGCAGCUGAGGGACUUCUCUACUCACAGGUCGCAGCCCCUGCCCGAGACUUCCUGGGAAGCAACCCGCAACGCCCACAGCAUUGGCCUCCUUUCCCCGACUCCUUGGAGAUUGGUCUGCGGCUUGAGUCCGGCUGCAGACACCCACUCCGGCCCUUAGAUUAGACCUGCCUUGGGCGUGGACGCCAAGGUGCGGUACCGAGGCCCCAAGCUGCGCCGAGGCUGGCGAGUUUCUGCCUGGGUCGGGAGAGGGGGUCCCAACAGCGGAGCCCGCUGCAGUCUGGUGACACCUACUGCGCCUCGCACUGCCUCCACGACGGCCCUUGGCCUGCGGAGAAGGAGGCAAGGGCAAGAUGCUCCGUGGCGGGUCAAACCUUCGCCCCUUUAUCUCCUACCAUGCUUUUCAUGUCCAUAUCUUUGUUAGUUAGGUGUAUGACUGCUAUAUUCCAGCGGCUUAUCCUACAUAAAAUACCCCACGGCUUGGGCGAGACUUUGCAAAUUUGGCAUCCCAGGUGAGCGGUCUUGAGUAUUCUGUGCCCUAUCCACCCACCUCGCCCGUGGGUACUCAGGGCAGCGCCCACUUGGCAGAACUGAUGGCCGUUCAGGCCUAGCAGAGUGCGCAUCGCCAAACCUGCACGUCCAAAAUGCAUCCUCGCCUCGCCGGAACGCUGAGCCGCGCAACUCUAAAGGAGCCCGCAUUCCGGAGCACGUGCAAGCAUCCUCCCGCUUUGAAAUGAAUUCGCGCUGCGUCUUUCAUCCCCAAAGGAAAAGCCUUUGGGGCGCUACUCAGACCGAAGACCUGGGAGAGAGAAGUCCCGAAGGCGGGGACCAGGGGCUUGGGCACUCUUCUGCUCACCUGGACUUGAGACACUCGAAGGCCCGAUUAACCAUCGGUUGUAUCAGGGCCGAUGGGUUCAAAGUGGCUGCGCCUCGCGGAGGCGCUCACUCCCCGGGUCCGGGUCUCCGAGGGCAUCUGGAAUCUGGGUGGGUUGUGCUGACUACCUGCAGCGCGCGCGGAUCCCAGGCCAGGAAAAAGGGCGCCGUGUAACGGGGACGGUCGGUUACCUCUCCAGGGAUCUGCCCUGACUUUGUUCGUAAUUUAAGAAGCCUCUGAACUCGGGGAGCGCUUGUUGGGGCACCUCCCUGCACACACACGCCCCCUCCUUCCCGGGCCUCGUAUCUUUCCCUCCACUCUCCCGUUCCCCCCACCCCCAACCCCGCGGCCCCGCCCGUUAGAGGCGCGCAGCGGGCACUCGGUUUACAGAGCCGCCGGUUCAGAUGUUUAUUCGCAGCUAAUUGCUGGUGCAGGAAAAUGCUUGCUACCCCGGCCGAGCGCUUCCGCCCUGUGCUGGCCGAUCCCGCCGGCGGCAGCUCGCUGAUCCCACCCGCGAAGCCACGGAGGAACCGGCGGCAGGGAGGCGGCUGUGCCACCCUGGGCCGGGCUACCGGCGCUGCCCCGGACUCCCGGUAGGGGGAGCCGCCGCGGGCACCAGGCCAGCCCGGCUCCAGGCCUCAGGUCGGCCCUGCUGCCAGCAGCCACCCGGAACGCAGAACGUGGGCGGCCUCCUCACCUGCCCUCCAGGUGCGUGCGGCCAGCAGAGAAGGGAACACAGGGCCGAGCCGGCUCCUCGUUCCCGGCUGUUGCAUCGCAAAGAAGCUACGCGAGACCUAAGUGCAUUCUUUAGGUCCAAAUAUAGUUAGGAAAAUUGGUAGGUAAGGAGAUCACCUCCUUUGCCCAUGCCUCUUAACACCAGUGAUUAAGAAUUCCUCUUAAUUCCACAAAUUUUGAGGCUUAUUUUAAAAAUUUUAGAUGAUCUAAUCCCUUCUCACUGUGUUUCCGAGUCAUUUAUUUCCAGGAGUUUCAGAUGGUCCCAGCACAAAAUAGGAGCUCAGAGGAGACCAGCUGGCUUUGCUGCCGGAUCACCGACCACUCCUCUCCCUUUCUGACUCUAUGUGCUCAAUAAAGGUUCCGCAGCUUUCAUUUUAAGAGAUGGCCAAUGUUGAGAGAGCAACCCUAACCCAGGGUCAAGGGGAAAGCAGCUAGGCGGACUGUGACCCCACAGGGCACCCCCCCCCCCAAAGGGCCCGGCGCAGCAGCACACCUAUGCUGAAGGGCCGGAGACUUCCGGCUCGCUACUCCCACAGAUGAAACAUGCAAGCCCUCCUUCUACAGAAACUCGUCCUUCCAGAGCAAGCCCCAACUCAUGAGAGCUCUCUUAAGGCCGAGUCCUUAAAGUCUCUCCACAGAGAAUUACAAAAGCAAAGAAUUUCACACUUGGAAGGAAACUUAAAGACCAUCUAGCUCAACUGAUGUAGUUUGCUGGCGAGGAACUUAAGCUGAGUGGAGGCAAAGAAUCACACUUCAGAACAUCAGAUACGUGCAAAUACAUGAAUGAAUGAACGAAACAGAAGAAAAACCACAGGAUUGUUGGCAUUAUCAAGAUUAGCCCUGAGCUAACAUCUGCUGCCAAUCCUCCUCUUUUUGCUGAGGAAGACUGGCCCUGAGCUAACAUCCAUGCCCAUCUUCCGCUACUUUAUAUGUGGGACGCCUACCACAGCAUGGCAUGCCAAGCGGUGCCAUGUCCGAACCCGGGAUCCGAACUGGCCAACCUGGGCCGCCCAAGCAGAACAUACGAACUUAACUGCUACACCACCGGGCCAGCCCCUCUGGUGUCAUUUUUAAAAACUAAGAGGAAAGAAUAUUUACAUUUCUAAAAUCAGAUUUAAAAAGGUCUAAUUUCUAAGAAGUUGAUUUAGCCACAGUAGGGGAAACUUUUUGAAUGAAAUAUUACAGGAUAAGCCUAAAAAACACUCCCCACUGGCUUUGUAAUAAACCCUGAGAUGUAAAUGAUAGUUUAUCAUUCUCUCCAUAAUUACCCUCUUUUUACUUUUUGAUAAGAUCAACACAAAAAUUAUUAUUUACAAGGACACUCCACUAUUCCUUUCUGUAUCUG